rnacentral:rRNA from 1 species
GUAGGGAAUCUUCCACAAUGGGCGCAAGCCUGAUGGAGCAACACCGCGUGAGUGAAGAAGGGUUUCGGCUCGUAAAGCUCUGUUGUUAAAGAAGAACACGUAUGAGAGUAACUGUUCAUACGUUGACGGUAUUUAACCAGAAAGUCACGGCUAACUACGCGCCAG